UAGCAGAGUACGGAAAGACAUGUACAAUGACACAUGAAAUGGCAGUACAGAGAAAAGGAGUGCAGAAUUGCCUGAUGCUGUGGGACCUAUUGUUCAGUUACAAGAGAAACUUUAUGUGCCUGUAAAAGAAUAUCCAGAUUUUAAUUUUGUUGGUAGAAUCCUUGGACCCAGAGGACUUACAGCCAAACAGCUUGAAGCAGAAACAGGAUGUAAAAUAAUGGUCCGAGGCAAAGGCUCAAUGAGGGAUAAAAAGAAGGAGGAGCAAAAUAGAGGCAAGCCCAAUUGGGAGCAUCUUAAUGAAGAUUUACAUGUACUAAUCACUGUGGAAGAUGCUCAGAACAGAGCAGAAAUCAAACUGAAGAGAGCAGUUGAAGAAGUGAAGAAAUUACUGGUACC